GCGCGAAAACUUUACAAUGCUGGCAACAGCGAUAAGGGAACCUCGAGUGCCAGGUUACAAAUCUGGCUGUCGAGAUGCCUAAAAAGCAUUUCAUAGCAAGGGCCGGGCAAGACCGGUGCCAGCCGCCGCGGUAACACCGGCGGCUCGAGUGGUAACCGUUAUUAUUGGGUCUAAAGGGUCUGUAGCCGGCCGGAUAAGUCUCUUGAGAAAUCUGGCAGCUUAACUGUCAGGCUUUCAGGAGAUAUUGUCUGGCUCGAGGCCGGGAGAGGUGAGAGGUACUUAAGGGGUAGGGGUGAAAUCUUGUAAUCCUUGAAGGACCACCAGUAGCGAAGGCGUCUCACCAGAACGGACCUGACGGCAAGGGACGAAAGCUAGGGGCACGAACC
rnacentral:rRNA from 1 species